GAAAGUAAGCAAGGGCAGACGGUGGAUGCCUUGGCUCUCGGAGGCGAUGAAGGACGUGAUAAGCUGCGAAAAGCUCGGGGGAGGCGCAAAUAGCCCUUGAUCCCGGGAUAUCCGAAUGGGGCAACCCGGCAGGCUGAAGGCCUGCCAUCCCGUAAGGGAGGCGAACGUGGGGAACUGAAACAUCUAAGUACCCAUAGGAGGAGAAAAUAAACAAUGAUUCCGUAAGUAGUGGCGAGCGAACACGGAAGAGCCCAAACCCGUGCCGUCUAGGCGACACGGGGGUUGUAGGACCACGACGUGGCAAGAUAGAGUCAAGUGGAACGCCUUGGAAAAGGCGACCGUAGAGGGUGAUAGUCCCGUACACGACUGACGAUUGAAGCCUAGUGGCAUCCUGAGUAGCGCGGGGCACGAGAAAUCUUGCGUGAAACUGCGGGGCCCAUCCCGUAAGGCUAAAUACUCCCGAGAGACCGAUAGCGAACCAGUACCGUGAGGGAAAGGUGAAAAGAACCCCGAGCAGGGGAGUGAAAUAGACCCUGAACCCGUCUGCCUACAAGCGGUCGGAGCGUCGUAAUGACGUGACGGCGUGCCUUUUGCAUAAUGAACCUACGAGUUACCUUCCCCGGCAAGGUUAAGUACCUAAGGUACGGAGCCGAAGCGAAAGCGAGUCUGAACAGGGCGCCAAGUCGGGGGGGGUAGACGCGAAACCGAGUGAUCUACCCUUGGCCAGGUUGAAGGUUGGGUAACACCAACUGGAGGACCGGAUGGGUAAGCGUUGAAAAGCUUUCCAAUGAGCUGAGGGUAGGGGUGAAAGGCUAAUCAAACUCGGAGAUAGCUCGUACUCCCCGAAAUGCAUUUAGGUGCAGCCUCUUUAUAGUAUAUCGUGAGGUAGAGCGACUGAUUGGAUGCGAGGGCUUCACCGCCUAUCAAGUCCAGAUAAACUCCGAAUGCGCGAUAUAUAUUUAAAGGGAGUGAGGGCGCGGGUGCUAAGGUCCGUGUCCGAGAGGAGAAGAAUCCAGACCACCGGCUAAGGCCCCCAAAUGAUCGUUGAGUUGAACUAACGAGGUCGGAUCGCAGAGACAGCUAGGAUGUUGGCUUGGAAGCAGCCAUUCAUUUAAAGAGUGCGUAACAGCUCACUAGUCGAGCGAUCUGGCGUGGAUAAUAAUCGGGCAUAAACGAUCUGCCGAAGCCGUGGAUGUCGUAAGACAUGGUAGGGGAGCAUUCCAUGCGGCGUCGAAGAUGAGGGAUGACCCUUGUUGGAGCGCAUGGAAAAGCAAAUGUAGGUAUGAGUAACGAUAAGGGGGGCGAGAAACCCCCCCGCCGAAAGACCAAGGUUUCCUGAUCAACGCUAAUCGGAUCAGGGUGAGUCGGGACCUAAGGCAAAGCCGAACGGCGCCGCCGAUGGAAGAAUGGGUUAAUAUUCCCAUACUGCCUCAUGGAGUGACGUGGAGACGGAGAAGUGACAGUCCUGCCGGCUGACGGAAUAGCCGGUUGAAGGGUGUAGAUAUUGAUUCCCGUAGGCAAAUCCGCGGGGAGAGUCGAACCUGACAGUAUACCGAGUACUUGUACGAGGUAAUAUGGACGUAACCAUGCUCCCAAGAAAAUCCGCUAAACUUAUCCAUGCGGCACCCGUACCGUAAACGGACACACGUGGUCGGGUUGAGAAUACUGAGGCGCUCGAGUGACUCACGGUUAAGGAACUAGGCAAAUUGACCCUGUAACUUCGGGAUAAAGGGUCCUCGUCGUAAGGCGAGGCGCAGAGAAUAGGUCCAGGCAACUGUUUAACAAAAACACAUGGCUGUGCUAAAUGGAAACAUGACGUAUACAGCCUGACACCUGCCCGGUGCUGGAAGGUUAAGAGGAGAUGUCAUCGCGAGAGAAGCGUUGAAUUGAAGCCCCAGUAAACGGCGGCCGUAACUAUAACGGUCCUAAGGUAGCGAAAUUCCUUGUCGGGUAAGUUCCGACCUGCACGAAUGGUGUAAUGAUCUGGACACUGUCUCAACCGUGAGCU
rnacentral:rRNA from 1 species